AACGAACGCUGGCGCCAGGCUUAACAUAUGCAAGUCGAGCGCCCCGCAAGGGGAGCGGCAGACGGGUGAGUAACGCGUGGGAAUCUACCCAUCUCUACGGAAUAACGCACGGAAACGUGUGCUAAUACCGUAAACGUCCUUCGGGAGAAAGAUUUAUCGGAGAUGGAUGAGCCCGCGUUGGAUUAGCUAGUUGGUGGGGAAAAGGCCAACCAAGGCGACGAUCCAGAGCUGGUCUGAGAGGAUGAUCGGCCACACGGGGACUGAGACACGGCCCGGGCUCGGACGGGAGGCAGCAGUGGGGAAGAUUGUACAAGGAGAGCAAGCCUGAACCAGCCAUGCCGCGUGAGUGAUGAAGGCCCUAGAGUUGUAAAGCUCGUUCACCGGUGAAGAUAAUGACGGUAACCGGAGAAGAAGCCCCGGCUAACUUCGUGCCAGAAGCCGCCGUAAUAC
rnacentral:rRNA from 1 species